UAAUGCUUCUUUUUUUCUUCCCUAUCCAUGAUUGAUGUGUUUCUAAUGCACAAAUUUUUUUUUUCUUUUACUGUAUGAACGUAUUGUACGAAUUGCCCAUGGUCCUGUGUCUGUUAUUGUGUAUGGAGACCAAGACAAACCAGCACUGCUUGCCUAUCCUGAUUUAGCUCUAAAUCGUAAUUCUUAGAUUUGUUCCUUCCUAUUUCUUAUGUUUAAACUUGAUUCUUACACUUAGCAGUUUCUGUGUUUCGUUGUCGUAAUUCUUAGGGUUUUUCUCAUAAUUUUAGUUUAUGUUGCAGCGGACCCCUCCUCUUUAAAAUCUGGUAUUAGCAAGGUAGCACUGAUUGGCAUUGCACUUGGGACGAUUGCAGGUGCAGUUACGUUAUCUGCAAUUGUAUCACUUCUUAUAUUGAGAUUGAAUACGAGAAAACGCCAUACAUCUUCAAGAAGACAUCUAUAUUUGCUGAGUUGAGGAUAUCCUUGUUGAAGGCGGUAUAGAAGGAUCCGUUAUUCAUUUCCAUAGGGCAAGAACUAUAACUAUUGAUUCUCUUGGAACAAUUAAUGCAUCGGGAAUGGGUAUGUAUUUUUUCUUUACUUAAAAGUUGUUGUUAAAUAAUGAUUUAUUGGCAAACUUCUGCUUUCGCUUCUCUCUGCAGAGCUGUGUAAUUGGUGUGGUGUAUUCUCUAUUUUUUACAUUUACUUCAUUGAAGGGGUAAAAAAUCUUGCUUUCAAGUAAAAGAGGAAAACAAAUUGUCCUAA